AGGUAACAGGUCAACUAAACGAGUUAAAAAUAUGAUAAUGCUUUGUUGCAGUAGUUGUAAGUGUGUGUCUUUUAAUGUUUAAGUAUCUCUAAAGUGCAAUUUUCAAACGACUUAUUAAAAAAAAAUAAAUGUAAAUGCCUGGGUGAAGAUGUUCGUCCCACAGAGUCAACAUAACGCACAUUUCGCUUUUCUCGCGUGCGUGUUUUGUAAAUGUAACCUUUUUAUGACCAAGUUGAGCACAAGCUUAAGCUUCUCUACGUCGUAAGGCUACGGUGGAUGUUCCAGUCUUCCAUGUACAUCCCAAAACCGAUGGGCUGGCAAUGCUAAGAUGGCCGGUGUAACUGUGUGCCAUGCGGGUGGCCGGACGGUGGUUCUCGUCUUGCACCCAGUGCAGCCUUUGAGAUGUGUAUUUACAUGUACUUGUUCAACAAUGAAACGAUGGAGCUUAAUUGGGACCCCUAAUCCCGGAGGAUUCAAAGCCCCCUCCUCUUAACGUGAAAGCUAUAAGGCAUAGAGAUAGAUAGAUAGAUACUUUAUUAAUCCCAAUGGGAAAUUCACAUUGCUUUUAAAAUAAAGUUUCUGUUACACUUCGACUGUGGCAGCACUGUAACAUAAACAACAGUAAUGUCACCAAGGAAUUAUUAAUAAGGAGACCAUCCGUCCCCUUUUUCGGACAACUGUCCCCACUCAGAAACAUGUCCCCGGUUUCAGCUGGUUCACUUUUUUGAAUGUACCUCAUCACCGCGAUAAUGUGAACUCGGCGCGCGUGCGCGGUGUUUUGACGGAGGUUAUGCUUUACCGCGUCCUGUAACGUUGGCGAGAAAUCACGUGAUAAGCUUUCGCUUUGUACUCUGUAGAGUUUAGAGUCCCUACUCGUGAUCUGUAGAUUCUAGCCCAUCAUGUCCCCGGAUUGGCUCAAAAAAAAUUCUGGUCACCUUAUUAUUAAGCAGGGAUAGCGGUUUAAUAAAACCAAAAUAAGACCCAACAAGGCGUGAAGGUGCGAAACAACGCGUGGCUUCAGCAGGAACUUGCGCGAGUCCAGGCCUUGGCAUUUCACAUUAAUCCACUCCAUUAUUUUCCACGUUCUAUUUCCUCAGUCAAAAUGAAACUCAAGACAGACAUGGUAAGAAAACUAGUUUGUUUCCACCGUCCUUUUAAUCCACGCAUAAACUUACAAUAACUUGCUAUAACUCCCACUACCCAGCACCCCUUCUUAAAGUUGCAAUACUCCAUUAUAAUUGACUAAUUAUCAAGCCCUAUUCUUUAUAUAUAAAGUAAUUUUGAGCUACAAAAAUAAAUUUAACAUAAUUUCAAAAUUAACUGAACAUCCAUCCAUCCAUUUUCCAACCUGCUGAAUCCGAACACAGGGUCACGGGGGUCUGCUGGAGCCAAUCCCAGCCAACACAGGGCACAAGGCAGGAACCAAUCCCGGGCAGGGCGCCAACCCACCGCAGGACACACACACCAAGCACACACUAGGGCCAGUUUAGAAUCGCCAAUGCGCCUAACCUGCAUGUCUGGACCGUGGGAGGAAACCCACGGGGAGAACCCGGGAAGCGAACCUCGACGGGUCUCCUUACUGCGAGGCAGCAGCGCUACCCACUGCACCACCGUGCCACCCUUAACUGAACAUAGAAACGUUAAUAACAGAACUUGGCUCAUACAACACCAUUAAGCAAUAGAGAUGAAAGUUGGGCGUACCAGAACCAUCCAUCCAUCCAUUUUCCAACCCGCUGAAUCCGAACACAGGGUCACGGGGGUCUGCUGGAGCCAAUCCCAGCCAACACAGGGCACAAGGCAGGGAACCAAUCCCGGGCAGGGUGCCAACCCACCGCAGGACACACACACACACACACACCAAGCACACACAAGGGCCAAUUUAGAAUCGCCAAUUCACCUAACCUGCAUGUCUUUGGACUGUGGGAGGAAACCGGAGCACCCAGAGGAAACCCACGCAGACACGGGGAGAACAUGCAAACUCCACGCAGGGAGGACCCGGGAAGCGAACCCAGGUCUCCUAACUGCGAGACAGCAGCGCUACCCACUGCGCCACCGUGCCACCCUUAACUGAACAUAGAAACGUUAAUAACAGAACUUGGCUCAUACAACACCAUUAAGCAAUAGAGAUGAAUGUUGGGCGUACCAGAACCAGUUAACAUAAAACACACAGGGACGGUUAACAAUUAAUUAUACAAUCAUUUAAUAUGUACUAGUCGAUGCCACAAGGGGCUGGCACACCGUCACAAAAGAAGUCCUGGGUGUAGUGAAGUUUCAUUCACAUCUUUAACUUUGACAUGAGAGAUAAUCCAAUACAGAAGCUUUAAACAAAAUCUGCGAUGUAGAAGUUAAUUUUUUUUUAAUUUAUGGUCAUCUGUUGAGGAACAACCCCAAUGUAACCGUUGUAAGAUAAUAAUAAAAGUUAGGGAGCAGUCCCCGUAUAAUGUCCAGCGAUCUUCAAUGAAAAAGUUGCAAAAAAAAAAAACGAUCAAAAGCAUAACAUUUAGUAGUAAAUGACAGUGGAAGGUGGAAUUUGUACAAAAUGGCAACCGGACGGAAGUGUUGGUGGAAAUGACGUCAUAACUGUGAGACCGGAAGUGAUGUCAUCAGGGUGCGACCGGAUGUGCCGUAUGUGGAAAUGACGUCGUCUUUGGGACUCGGAGGCGGACAUGAUGAAUCGGAAGAGGAGCCAAUGUGGGAAUCCGGAAGACUCGGGCAAUCCAGGCCAUGUUUACCAGAUGGAGUCACUCUUCUAAUGAGAAACCUCUCCGGUGAAAUCCCCUCAAGAAUAAUGGCUGUAAGUCUCAAAGAACCGGCGAAGAGCAUCUGUGUACCUCUGAAGACCUUUGCCACUGCAGCUAAUUUAAUCCCAGCUCUUCAUGGCAGGUGAAGUGAUUUGCUCACAGCCGCCAAGUGUCAGCAGCAGGAUUUAAACCCCUGAUCGCUGGUUUUGAAGUCCAAAGCCUUACCCUCUUUGCCACUCUCAUCAGUCAUUGCUAAAUGUCAGUCAACAACAGGACAUCGUAAGCAAGGAAUUGGAUUUGUUCAGAGUCCUGGAGACGUCGGCCAUCAAGCUGCCUCCCCCUAUUGGCCAUUCCACAGCUGAAACAGCCAAUCCGAUGAAAGGACCCCUCUACCGGACGAUUCCUGCGAUCCUCCAUCAGGGAUGACUUUACCUUAGGCAGGCAGAACAACCUGGCAGGUGGGCCGUGGCACCAAGUGGCACAUUUGAGUACCGAGAAGAGAAACCGAAUAGGGGAGGGUGAGUAACAAGUUAUAACUCUCAUGUUACUUCUGUUUUAGUGCUGAUGACUGACAACAGAGAUGCAGUCUGCACAGUGAAUCAGCAGCUCUAGUCAGGGUGUGCUAAACUGAAGUGGUGAGUCUUUGAAAGCUGAGACCGAAGGAGCAUCUCUUAUAGUGGCAGGCAGAUCAGUCCACAGUUUAGGGGUCCGGUACCUAAAAGCUCGACCUCCCAUUGUUAUUUUAUUAAUCUUUUUAGAGUUAUAAGCAGACCGGCAUCUUGAUCUUAACGUACGUUCAGGUUUGAAAGUCAUGGUAAGUUCAGGCAAGUAAGCCGGACAAAAAAUCAAUAUGUAAAUCUGAAAUACACAAAUUGGGUAACAUAGAAAGUGGUGGUGUCAUUUGAAAGGUGAAACAGCCCCCUCAAUUACCAGAUAAUAGUCUGUCAGUCAUAUUUCAUGAAACUGAAUCAGGAAGUUCAAGAAAGCAAUUAUUACAGGAAGAAACAAGAACACUGCACCGUGCUGUUGGGGUAUGCAAGGAAAUGAAUGAUUUUUAUCUUGUUAUUGUUAAAAAUUGCAUUAUUGUUUGGAACAAAACAAUGGGGCCUGUGUUUAAAGAUUUUAAAAUGUGUUUUCCCCACAGCAGUCGCCAUGAUGCGGGUUUAUAUCCGGCAGUGGCAGAGUACGUCAUUUCAUUUUUCCUUUUGUGCUUUCCUUCAUUUGAGUGGGGCCUGCUGUGAGUGGAUUCAUGAGUUAAUUCUGCGCCCACCUCAUCACAUUCUGAAUGUAAUUUAUUAGAUUAUUACGUCAUUAUUGUUAAUCAUUUCAUUAUUAUUUAAAGUGCUUGCAUAUCUUAGUUGGAGGGUGAAAACGGAUUGUGACCGGCCCUGCAUCAAUGGAGUCCGUUUCCUGUGCACGUAUUUUUAUGUUUUGAAUGCGGAGGCUUGUGAUUUAAAUCACAUAUUCAUAUUAGGCUUACACUGUUGGUUUGUUUAUUAAAUGGUGUGGUUUUACUCCCUUAUCUUCACCCCAUCAGUCAGAGUUUACUUGAAGUGGUUGAGUUGGCAGCAGAUAAGACAUUGAAGUGCGGCCUUCUCUCUUAUUCGGGACUUGGGCCUUGUCGGCCGCUGAAGCGGGUUGUGUUCUGCCAGUAGCUUGCGGGCGCAAUCCGCUUUGAAAGUCGGGGGCCGAGUUCUGGCAGACGGUGUGUUCUUACUAGUCCUGAAGUCCUCGUUGUCACCUUUAAUGUCACCUGUAGCCACCCUUCCUCACGCCGUCAACAAUUCUAGCCUGACGAUAUGUCAGAGCCGUCCUAACUGUUUGAUGACUGCAGUUCUAACUGAAAACGCACUGUACAAGAGUGACUGGAGUUGAAAAUGUGCUCCUUAUUGCCGAUUUGUGUAAUAAAAUACUUCCAAGUGUUACUUUUUAUUACUUAUGUUGAGAAAUACUCAGUUCAAGUGCCCUCAUCUUGUUAAAUAUAGUUGUCCGUAUUUUAUUUUGACUUCUUAGAGGCCAGAUCGCCUGCAGCUGUCAACGAAGCUUCCAGGUGGCCACCUGCCAUUUGCAUCCUUUAACACAGAUAUUCAUGUUGUGCUUAGUGUUUGGGAUGAAGGACCCUGGCUGGCAGAGAAGACAACGUGAAUGUGUCCGCAGGUAAGGAGAACUGCUUUGUCUGAGGUCUCGACGUGCUUUUAAGGUUGUGUUCCUCUCCAUAUUCUGCAGCCUCAGCAAAUACAAAAAGGGUUUGAGUCCUCAUUAAUGUGCCAGAAAGGCUUCACUGACGAGGCCAGGCCAGGCCAAUGCCAGCCUGGAAUAAACCUCACCCUGUUGGGCCAAUUCCCUACUCAAAAUGGGCUUAGGCUGUGAGAGCCUAAAAGAGACAUCCUUUAAUGUCUUGAAUAUCCCACCAAGGGAGGGGUCACCUUAAACCUCGGGUUUGUGUGGACAGGGAGCAGUAAAAUUAUCAUUAUGAGGAAAAAAAAAAAAAGAUUGAUUUUCAAAACACCCAAAAUGUUCCACAGAGCAAAGAGGAAGGCAUUAAAAGGAGUUUCUGUAAAGGGAAUCCACAGUGAGCACAAUGUAGUAAAUCUAAACCCUAUUAUUAUUGCAAGAGCAAUCUUCUUCUUUUGGCUGCUCCCAUUAGGGGUUGCCACAGCGGAUCAUCUUCUUCCAUACCUUUCUGUCCUCGUCAUUCAACGCGUCUUUCUUUGAGGAAUUCUCUGACUUGAUGUCAAUCUUAAUUACGAACUAUGACGCACUCUUAAUAGUCGGCGACUUUAAUUUUCAUGUAGAUAAUCAAUGUGACCAAAAAGUAAAAGAAUUUAUGAACCUCCUGGACUCUUUUGAUUUGAGACAGCUCGUUAAUCAGCCUACACAUAAAGCAGGUCAUACGUUAGACUUAGUAAUUACUAAAGGACUAAAAGUUGAUAUAAAGCAGGUCAUUGAUACGGGUCUUUCAGACCAUUUUCUUCUACUUUUUAAUAUAGAAAUAAUGAUAGAAAACACUCAUGAGAAGCAUAUUGUUAAAAAACGCUUCUUUGACUCAUCAGCAACUUUAAAACUUACAAACAUUCUAACCAAUCAGUCCGUUUAUAGUGCCAACUAUAAUAGCGAGGAGAAUGUAAAUAGUAAGGUGGAAAGAUUUAAUACUAAAGUGAGGGCUGCUGUUGACAUAGUUGCACCUGAAAAGACAGUUAAAAAAUCUUCUAGCAUUGUUAUACCUUGGAAGACCCAAAGAGUGUCUGAUUUAAAGAGAACAUGCCGUAGA